rnacentral:tRNA from 1 species
GCCGGCGUGGUGAAAUGGCAGACACGGCAGACUCAAAAUCUGCUGCUCGCAAGGGUGUGUGGGUUCAAGUCCCACCGCCGGCA